GAGUUUGUGGUUUGGCCAUUCUGAUAGAUAAGAGAAAAUAGUUUCUUUUUACUAAGAAAUCUUCUAGACCUAUACAGUUCUAAUUUAUGAACUGUCACAGUAUAGGACAAAGAGUGGGGUUUAAGAUAAUAAUGAAAAGUAUAAACAAGUCAUGGGGGGUUUAUAAAUCUUGUAAAGAGAAUUUUGUGUGUAAUUGGGUUGGCUGGGAUUAGAAGGGAAUUGCUUGUAAGUUUUUCUAAGAACUGGGCAUUAAUGUCAGGAGUGUGCUGAUACAGGACCAGAAUCUGAUUCUCUGUGUUUGAAGCAACAAGGUUUUCCUAGAAUGUUGAUCAACUCUUAGUAAAAAAAAAAUUGCAAGAGGUUUGGAUUUUAAUUCUCAAAUCCAUUUCUUUAAAUUUUCAACCAUCUUGUGACCUACAGCUUUUCCAUGUUUUACAGCUUCUACCUAAUUUCAAGUUAGAAGUGCUGUUUUCACUUAAAAUGAUAAUUACAUUUUUUGAGUAGACUUUUCCUCUUAAAGCCUUUCAGAUUCAUAUGCCUAGGGUUUGGCUUUUUACUGCAUCUCACUACGUGUGAUUUGCAGGUCAUGCAUCAUUGCUUUCUGCUUUUCUUCCUUAGCUCCUUGAAAAUAGGAUACAUAUUUUGCUUAACUAGAGUGGUUACUUUAUUCCUUAACCUUUUCAUCCAUUUCUGUAGCCUUUUUCCAGGUUUGACUCUGCUAUUGUGGUCUAACACUAAGAAAGUUUGUCUUAAAGGACUAAUAAAACAAUAUCUCUUCCAUUAUAACUUGAUUCUACACUCUUGGCUUUUCCUGAUGCCUCUAAAUUGUUCCAUGUAAACAGAUAAUUUCACACACUUUUACUUUUUCUCAAAGCUAUAGAUUCCCCUGCUCAAGGUAAUGGUUCUCUUGUUUACGUUGUUAUUUUAUAAUAGGGUGUACACUCAUAAUCAUGGACAUACACUCUUUCAGUGUCCAAUUUAAUUGAAAUACCUUUUCAACAGGUUUCUACUUCAAGGUUAUCUAAAUGGGCUUCCAAUAAAGAGAAGCACUAAUACUGCAGGAGGUGUGUGUGUGUAUGUGCGCAUGUGGUUGUUUUUUAACGUUUUAAGUAAUAAGCCUAAGAAACAGGAUUUUUUUUUGUUUUAUUCAUAUAGUUUCUUGUGCUUUCUGCUGUCCUUAUUAGGUUUUUGAUUACUUAGAAAAGCUGAAUCAUCUCUAAUUAGUGAUGCUAAAUCUUUCUUAAAAUUUAUUUAUGUAGAUGUGUUGAUGUUUUAAAAAUUAUGUAAAAUUUAUAAAGGUCUGAUAGUCCUUUUGUGACACUGUCAGUCGUAAUUCUGGUCAUCUUAAAAUAUGGUAGAAGUGACUAAAUUUCCUUGUGUUAGUAACAAAAAAUUCUCAUCAGAUUUUUAACCAUGGCUAUUUUAAGUUUUUGUCAUUUACGAUUUUGAUUUUUCUCUAAAGGCAUCUUCAAUCAGAUUCAUAGAAAAUACUCUAACAAGUACUUUUGAAUACAGUUUCUGAUAACUUUAAAAUCAAUGCAUGAAGUAAAAAUGUCCAAAAUGCUUAUAAAAAAUAAUUGAGGAGUUCAUGAAACUGCUAACCAAGAUCAGACAAAGCAAGAAUUAAUUAUAUGGACUAAACUGAUAAAGGAAUAUGAUUUUUAUAAUAUUUAUUUAAAAUAUUUAUGGUUCUUUAAUGAAUUGUGGUUCUUUAUUUUUCAGAUUUGAGGAAACUCCUAAGGUCCCUCCAGUGUACAACAAUUUGGUAAAAUAUACUGUGAACAGAAUUAAAAUAUUUGCCUUUUCUCUCUA
rnacentral:lncRNA from 1 species